rnacentral:rRNA from 1 species
ACUCGAGUGGCGAACGGGUGAGUAACACGUGGGUGAUCUGCCCUGCACUUCGGGAUAAGCUUGGGAAACUGGGUCUAAUACCGGAUAGGAGCCAUUUUUAGUGUGAUGGUUGGAAAGUUUUUUCGGUGUAGGAUGAGCUCGCGGCCUAUCAGCUUGUUGGUGGGGUAAUGGCCUACCAAGGCGGCGACGGGUAGCCGGCCUGAGAGGGUGGACGGCCACAUUGGGACUGAGAUACGGCCCAG